ensembl:lncRNA
GUUUGCAUCAGAUCUGCAAGAGUUGACUAAAGGUUUCUUAGCAGUAAUUCCUUGCUGGUUUUUAUCCCAACAGCACUCGAUUGCAGGAAUGGCUUCUGAAAAGGUCCUGUCUGCAUCUGUGAUUUUUUGGAAAUGUAUAAAAAGCCUUCUCUUUGUUCAUUUCCAUGAAAUAAUUAACUGAUAUGAUGAGCUUCAGUUCCUGAUAAACAUUUGCCUGUUCCACAGAUGCUGUGUGUGUAACAGAGGGAAAUUACUUCCCUGCAAUGUGUGCCCAUUUGAUAUUAUCUACUAUUUUGUUAGCCUUUUUAAAGCACAGCCACUUAAGGUCAUUCCACUCUCUAAAUAAGACUCUAAUGCAAUUUUACAUAAACUCAUCUUUUCAAAGUUGUAUCAAACAUCUUGAUAAUGGAAUGUCUUGUCUCUGCAACGGGAGAAUUAGUCUGUGAGUAAUCAGGGUGGUGCUGCAGCAAGUGUUUUGUUUUGAAUUGAUUCAAGCAGUUUAUGGUCAAAUGUGGAGACCAGUAGCGCACAGCAGCAAAACCUUGCAUCCUUGUUCCUUUGUGCUUGUAUAUAUAACCUUCCUGUGUUGGCAUGAGCAACUCUGAUCUUUGAUACAGUGACCAGCUUCCUGUAGUAGGCAGAAGAUAGAGCCUUAGCUGUGCCUGCAAGCUGUGUCAAGAAUUUAUCAGAGUUGCUGACUCCUAAAAUGCAGGCCAGCAAUGCCAGGGUACAUAUUAUAAAUGACCCUUUUCUCCUACAGGCCCACAGACUGUAAACAAGCUUGAUGCAAAUUCAGGCAAGGAAAGCACCAUGCCAAGGAGUUCAUUGAUUUCUUUGUGCUGUGACUCUGGUGGUCUGGGACUGCUAAAGCCAUUUGUAAAAAGGCAACAAAUGAAAAUGCCUCCUCUGUAAAAUUAACAAGAAUUUUAAUUGCAACAAUCCUGAGACAUUCCAAAGCACAUCAGAGCCUUCCUGGAUCAGAGCAGAGAAUAACGUAGUUCUUAUCCCAGAGCUCCCAUGAUGUGGUUAGCCAGGACUAAAUGGGGAGUGAAUCAUGGCCUGGAAGAGAGGAAACUGAUCUGGGAUAUUCUUUUAUGCAUUGAGAUGAGCUUAUUUGCUUGGGUGAUUUCCACAUGGAAUUUGCCUGUUUUGAGCUUUUGUAUAACUGAUGGGUGACAUCACUGGAUAGUUUUGGUCAUUUUAGUGGCAAGUGCAAUAUGAUGUGCAAGGGAGGUUAAAAUCCCUCUUUUGCUUUAGUUGCUGCAUCUCCUGUGCAGCUGCAAUGUGGCUGGCACCAUGUACUCUCCAUGCUGAUGGAAUGGGGCAAGAAAAGGUACCACGGAUGAUGACAGCUCCUGUGCAUCAUUGCAGUGAGGCAACACAGUGCUGCAGGCUUCAGCAGCACUGCCAGGUACCGCUGGGUGCAGUAUGACUGGGAGGUCCACAGGUAUGUUUGGGUGUCGUAUAGAUUGGAACUCCCCAGGUAUGGUUGGGUCCUGUAUGGAUUGAAGCUCCCCAGGUAUGGUUGAGUGCUGUACGGCUGGGAGGUCUCCAGGUGCAGUUGGUGCCAUAUGAAUUGAAGGUCUCAAGGCUGAGGCUUGUUGGGAGAUACGAGCUCUGUGAAGCAAGUCCUGCCUUUCUACGUGGCGCAUGUGUGAAGUGGGAGCAGACCCCCAGUUCUGUUUGCAGCAGGGCUGUGUUCAUAUCCAUCCAUGGGAUCCCUCUUGGAGGUCUCAUCUCCCAUGCCAGGGACACAGGAUGUACACCACCCCAACCACUAAGUGCUGCUGCCUGACUAUAGCAGGAGGAGUUCCGAGAGGGACAGGGGCUCUGGGCACAUAGCUCAGGAAACAGUCAGUGCCCUUUGGGACCUCCACACUGUGGGUACAGGCACCUGACAAAACAUCAGAGAGCGCCUGACCCCGAUGGCAAGAUGUCCUCUCUUGUCCCCCUUUUGGUAAAUUUGUGCAGUCUCUCUGGGUAUUACACUAUGCAUGUCUAAAAAGGAAAUAGGAAGGAGCUUUGAAUGGAAAUUCUGAGCAAUCAGCAGUGGAGCAGAACCCAACCAACUUCCCGUAGCACGGGCUGUGCGCUUCAGCUUGGAAUGAUCAGAGACCCUGAACUUUAAACAGAGCCUUCUGAAAUUAGGAAGUACUGGAGAUACUGUGAAACAGCAGCAAGAUUGUCUGGGCUGUACGUACCCUGUAAAGUGGAUGGAGUCAGGCCCGGAUCCCAGCGGGGCAGCCGCACUGCUUUGCUGCCCUUGUGUCUCCCAGCGCAGCUUGGCCGCUGCCUCUGAGCCCUCCUGAGACGCUGUUCCUCCAGGCUUGGAUAAAGCCAGCUCUUUUUGUUCCAGGGGUGGCUGUGGGAGGGGAGCUUGCUGUAUAUAAGAGCUCUGCCACUUGCCAAAGGGCGAGAGAACACACCCUGGUCUGUUUUGUUUACGACGUAAAUCGCAGUGUCAAAUUGGUCUUAAGCUUCACCAGAGAUGUGCCAGAGAGAUUUUUAUCCCGUAGCAGCAUUACACAUGUACAGCUGCCAUGAAAACACAUGUGAAUAGAGGGGGGGGGGGGGGGAAGAUCUGGGAUCUGAGAGCUUAAUAUCAGCAUUGUCUGUUUUUUUCUGUACAACCUCACCCCAGUCAAAAAGUGGUUACCAUGAAUAGAUAGUGCAUGGAGGAGUAUUGUUAGAGCAUCAGCGCUUGUCUCCAGUUAAUUAGUUUCUCAUCCAAGGACUGCUGAGUGUGUUAUCUCAUCCCAGGGAACAGCCACUCCCACUAGCAAUGUAAUUCAACUGAGCUAGGAACCAAAUGAAUUGCCAGGCUGCAAAAUACUCUUUUUAACAAUGGGAUCCUCAUUCCCCACGAGGAGGUGUGGUUUUCGGGCAGCCACUUUCAGCCUCUUGGAUUACUUCGUUCGGCUGAAGGAGCUUAUGCAAUGCGUGCCUACUGUAUGUUGGUAUAAACCCACCUGAGAUUUGCUAGAAUCAAAGGUUUAGCACUGAAAGUCUGCAAAGCUCGCACAGGUAAAUACAGGUAAAGGCUUCCUUUGUGCAUGUGGAAAGAGGAGUGAAAACGUGAUUGUCCCAUACUGCUUCAGGUUCGUAAAGAUAAUUUUCUAGAGCGCUGAACUCCAACACUAGAAAUGGUGGAAGGGAAGGAAAUAGGAUCAUUUCUCUUGGAAAGACUAGAUAGCUGAAUAGAUGUCUGCCUGAAUGUGUUGAAAAUAAGAGAACAAGGGAUGCUGAUCGUCAGAAUGGUUCAGAGUCACGAAAAAGAGAGCUAGCUUUUUCAGUUCAAAGGGAGAUGGAUGGAGUGGGCAACUCCGGAAUACGUGAAGACGGGAGCUUUGUGCAGCCUUACUGCUGGGCUUGCUUUCUGUGCUAGUGGCCCAGGGAAAUGGCAAAACUAGACCAGAAUAGGAAAGGCUCUAAUCCCAAUUCAUCGUUCAUACCCUGCUCGUAUUCAGGCACUGUCAGACAGAGCGGGCUGCUGCAAUUCACAAUCGUGGGAAGGGCUCCCCAGCUGCACGAUCCAAACGUUUUGAAGUGAAACGUGGUACAUUAUAUUAACUUGGUUCAGACAAUCAGCUUUAAACAUCUGAAUCUCGUUUCUCCAUGUUAAUUCCUCUUGCUCAAUCUUUAUUUCAGCUGCGUGGAAUUCUCAGACCUUUCUGACCCUGAUUUAUCGUUUCCUGAUGUUUUAUUGCUAAGUCACUGAGGUUUCAGGGAGGCUGAUGUUUCUGAAAUGCGCACACCUUUGAUUGUACGCAUGGCCAGCAUGUCAGACCGAACCUCUCAUGUGUUCUGUAUAUAUCAUUGUCUCCUCUGCUGCGUCCUCUGCAGUUUUACGAUUCACCGCACUUAUCUGUGCGCCUCAUUGAUACAGUCCUCCUUAAAAUGUGGUUAUUAUUUAAGGCUUUUCAAGCUCAGCCUCUGCAUACUGCAAAACUUGAUCUGAGCUUACGUUCGCUCUUGUCACUCAUAUACAGGUUCCAUCUGUUCCCCUUUUCCUCUCCCUUUGCUGCUUGCCACAUCCAGACCACAUGCUGCUUAUACAUUGUACAAUAGGCAUUUCUGCACACACACUUCUGAAAAUAUGUCUCUUAGUGCUUUAUUGUUAGCAUGUGUCUUGUUGCUUAAGGCGAGUUUUAUCAGUACUGAUUUUGUUGUUUACAGACGUGUAGAAUAAAACAGGGUACUGAUAAAAUGUGACUGGAGGAGAGGAGAUCUUUGAUGCACCAGUUACACUGUUUACGCCAGCUUUCUGAUCGUGUUCCCUUGCCACCACUUCCCCAAAUUCAGUAGUUGCCUGAGGAUAACACCAGAUCCUAACAUCUAAGCAAUGUAUGGACUGCUUUGCUCUGCAUGUUCCUGCUCCACGUUGGUAGGGGUUCCCCAGCACCUCCUACUCCGCUGUGCCUGGUUUACAGUUGCACUGCAGUGCCUUUACAUAAUGGCUUCCCAUAUUCUUCUAUUUGGGAAAAACAAAUCCAUGAAUAAACCAGUUCAGGAAGUGCCAUCAGUGCUACAAAGCCCCGUGCAGACCCUCCUCUUGCAGGAGCUGAGCUGACCCCCAGCAGCUUCCCCAGUGCAUGAGUGGGAGAGGACCCAUGGAUGUGCAGUGGCCAUGAAUUAAGGCAGGUAGAUCCUCUGGGAGCCAUCUCAGAUCUUUCCCAUCGUACCCUGCUCCAUACCUGCAGUGAGACUGAAGUACCUGCAAACAGAUCACACCGAGCGCAGCUCCCAGUUAACGCUCCUGGGUGUCUGCAGAGGGGCUGGCACAGAGCCCAUUAUGCUGGAUUAUUGCCACCCAGGGAUUUCCCACAACAUCAGGAAAAUCCCCAGCAGCCCCAGACCCCUGGUUUCCCGUUUGCAGAAGCCCAAGGCCUACCCAUGGUGAUGAUAAUCUCUACUGCUGGCACCUCAAAGUGCCAGAGAGCUGACGGCAAAAGCUUCAUUCAUGAGGACUACUAAAAAGAAGCUGUGAGCAACCAGACGUAAGGACCCUUGUGCUUCUGCCUUCCACUACAGCCACAGUUCAUUGGGUGCCUCCUGGCUCCUGUCCCACCACGUCACUCCCAUCCCACCCUGUCCCCUCUGCUGCCCAGCAGAAGCUCUCCUGCUGAAAAGAGGCAGGCAAGAAGAGCUUGUUUUCAUCUACACCAGAAUACUCCUUUUUCGGCUAUAAUAUUCUCAAAACACCUGCUAACGUUCUGCAGUCAGACUGCCACAGUGUCGGUCAGCUGAGUGCUCACUCUGGGUUCAUCCACACAAUCAGUGCACAGUCCGUGCCAAACUGCCAGACAAAGGCAGUUCCUAAAGCGAGCGGUCCCUCGGCAGCUCUCAGUGGAAAGGCCCACCAGGUACUUUGCAUUUGUUUUCCAAUCCGCACCAAAGCUUGAGGCCGUGGAUCAGCCAGAACGAAGGCAGGAAGAAGGUGAACGAAGAGAACAGAGCAGAGCUCUUGGCAAGCUGUUGUGGAUUAAAAAGAAGGCAGGUAGGAACAGAGAUAGAGCAAGUGCCUUAGAGAGUUAUUCAGGAGAAACAAGGGCUUCAAGUGACGUUUGAGUAUGGGAAAGAAAUCAGUAUCUGUGGUUUUCAUUUGUGUUCAGAGUGCUAAAAGCAGAAGUGGUUGCUGGAGUCUGAACAGGAAUCCGAGGCUGCGCUUGCAGCUUCCUCACAAAUUGGAGGAGAAGCUAUUCGUUUGAUUUACAGGCUCAGUGCUACAAGAGCUCUUACUUGUAGAAUUUUGCUUUUUUUUUUUUCUUUUUCGAAACAAAUUGCUAUGUGAGCAGUGGAGCUAAUAACACUCGGUUUCCCAUGGGUCUGUGACCCUUUCUCCCCACUCCUCCCAUAAACAACAAGCCCAGCUCUCCCCUCCCUAUGUGCCUUACGUUUCUUUGCUGAGCAGCGCUCUGAUCUGUAGGUGCCAUCUGACCAGCUAUCAUGUGUAUGGUCAGCCUUCCUGCCUGCACCAGCUAGUCAGCUGCUGGCUGCAUUUCUCUAAGUCCCUUGCCCAGCCGACCACAAAAUUUGGCAAGGAAGUCAGUGCAACUUCUACUUUUCUGUCCUAUAGGAAAACAGCUAUUUUUAACCUGGAUGUGGUCUGUGAUUUGUUUCACACGCAGCUCUGAAAUGGCACAGCUGAGGGCCAGGAACCUCAAGUGAACAGAAGCUGUUGCAAUGAGGCACGGUAUAAGCGAGCUGCCGACAAGCAGAAAUCCCUGACGCUGCUGCAAUUGCCUCCCGCCCUGGGAUAUCUCUUCUACCAUUCACCUCUGAGUGAAGCCGCUGGACUGUCAACACUUGUGGCAAGAUCAUGUUCACAGGACUACGAGCCAUGUUUCCCAGGUUGUUGGAGGAGAGCACAACAUGCUGCUUCUGGCAGCGGGAAGGGAAGUAACGUGCAGGAGGGGCUCAGAUUUCUUAACCUUUACUGUUAGUUUCUUGGCAGCCAUCAGCUCAUUAAACCAGCAGAGGAAAACCUUGCUUGAUUUUUCCCCCCUAUGCGUGGAUAAUGAUACCCAUUUUAAAUUACCCUCCUUAGGUAAAAGAGUGUGCCAAGAAAAAAAAACAACAACAACAACAACAAAAAAAAAACUAGUGGAAGAACGGGAGGCAAAGAAUGCAGCAUUCAGUAGGGCUGCUUUGCCUUGCCUUGCUACCCCUCAUUCAUUAGACUCAACCUCACCUUUGGUUUCUCAGGUUUCAAAGGCAGCUUUUAUGAGCUCCCCAGUUUCCCCAGGCUGCUGUAGGACCAGCAGAAUCUUCCUCAUGCUUCUUACCUGUGUCUCAAUGUCCUCCUUAGAGUACAGCCCAGAGAUGCUAUUCUGGGGAUCCCAUGGUGUAUCUCGCAGGCAGCCCUGAAUGGGAUAGGUGAUCAUCCCCACCUCUUAUAGCACGUUCCUUCCUAGAGAGGAGAAGAUGAUGGAGAAUGUUUAUGCCACUGGGCAGUGUAGCGAUGCAUGUAUGUCAGAAGCCUAUUGCUUUGACUCGGUGCUAUUCUUCAUCCCGCUGGUACCACUUUGCUGUUUAUCUAUGUUUGUCUUCCCAGAGCCCAGCUGUGGCCACCAUGGCCUCAUGCAAGAUGUGGAAAUGCCCUGAGAUCUGGUACUGCCAGCAAAGUUGGGGGAUUUUUUUUUUCCAGAGCUUUCUG